rfam:Schistosoma mattheei strain Denwood, Zambia genome assembly, scaffold: SMTD_contig0002448
GCACUGCUGAGGAAUCUCACAAUAGGACGAAACGGCCGUCCAGUGC